UUAGGAGUUUUUUAUUAUUAUUAUGUUAUUUGGGCAAUAGGUCCAUUAGGAAUAAAAAGAAAACCUAAUUGGUGCAAUAUAAAAGAGGUGCAUAAUCCUAUUUACAAAGAGGAGGCCAUCACUAAUCCUUAUUUCUUUGACACAAUAUUCACUGACCAAACGGUUGUUUGCCCUGUGAACGAUUUUCUAACCUGCUGUGAAAAUCAUUCACUCUAUCCCCAAAUGCCUAUCUCUAUUUCCCAACCUACAAACCAAUAAACAACAACAACAACAUUCACUAAAAAAGCCAUCUCUGACACUGUAACAUUGAAACUCCAUGUUAAUUGAAGUCCACAAUCAGGAAAAAAGAAGCAGAGGAAGAACAAAGGUGAAUCGGUCUCCCUCAAACGUUGCAAUAAGCUUGCCGACAACCACAAACAUUCGAAUCCGCCGCGUAGGCUCAUCAGAUCCACGUUGCCGGAACUCACACCUCCGACCCUUCAAUCCGCAACGACCACCGUGAACAUCUCCGCCCUCAAUCUCCGUUCGAGAAUCCUUCACGCAACAACAGCAACACUCUUCACACCAAAUCAUCAACUAAGGUAUGAGCCAACACAAUAUAACUUGUACAUGUUUUUUUGAUUUUUUGUUCUUACAGGAAAAUAGAGAAACUUGAAAGAAACAAUGAUAAAGAGGGAGAGAGAACCCGGAUCUACAAAGCAGCAUCCGCGAGCCACCGCAUUGCACCACUCUCCGCCGGAAACGUGCCGACGAGUUCCAUUCACUAUGAACCACAACGCCCCGAUCUACCUCCGCCGUCAAACUGUUUUCAUCCUCUUUGCAAGACCGUCGGUAUGUUUUCUCUUGAUUUCUUUGUUACUCUAAAAAAACUGAGUUAAAAGAGAUGUGUAUGGAUUCUUUGUUUUGGAUCUGCAAUUCAUAAAAGGAAAGUUGAGUUUUCUGUUUUUAUUUUUCUUUUUUUGAAAAUGUUUGAAUUGAUUUCGUGGGGAUAACAGAGAGUAUGCUUUUCGGUAUUAAUUUUCUAUAAAAAACGGUUCAACAUGUGAGAAGGAUAAAAUAAUACAUCUUUAUUUUCGGUUUACUUUUUAUGGUUUUUUAUUGCUUUGAAUGAUAGUCCAACGUGUACCAUUGCUGGUGUGAUUUUAAGGAUAAAAAUGGAUUGUCGUUAUGAUUUCUAGGUAAGUUUCAUCUACAUGUAUAUUAUCAUAUAUUAAGUUGUCAAUUGAAUCUAAAGUGAGCAAUAUAAUGGUAGGCUGAAUUCUAAACACUAACAUGAUCUUUUUAUUUAGAGAAAAGAUACACAUGUUAUGUUAAAAUUAAUUUAGGAUAGUUUCUUUGUUUUCAUUAACCAUUAAUUAAUUAAAAUAAUAUUAAUUCAAAUAAACUUAUUUUGCUAAAUGGUUUUAACCAUCUUAUUGGUUAUGAUGAUUAGUAUAUUUCUCCUUAUCAAUUCGUUAUUAUUUGUAAUCGAAACUAUCGGUUAUGAGGGAUAACGAUAAAUUAAUAAUUAAAAUACAUCAAUUUGCUAAAAGUGAUAAUCGAAUCAAUCGAUUAGAAUUGCCAGCAAUCCUUUACUAAUCUGUUAACUAUGGUGAUCGAAUCUAUUGAUCAUUGCGGUUAAUGGUAAACAAAUUAAAAUAAGGGUUGUACGCCCAAACACACUAAACCACGUAACUACAGAUUUUCAUCUUUUCAAACACUGCGAUGUUCAAACUGCGAUAAGGUAAUUCAAAAUACCUUCGAACAUUCGCAUUUCAAAACAAUUUCAAAACAACUUCACGCAAUCUCUAUAAUCAAAUUCUAAGGCGUACAAUCAUGUGCCCGAACUACGUAGACUCUGAUCCUCCAUAAGGAGGUACGUAGGCACUUGGCAACAAGGCGAGUCCCCCUCUUCCAAACUCUAAUCAUGUUCAAAUAAUUAGCCUUUAACUCUAUUUACUGUCUGUCAUCUUUCUUUAUCUUUUGCCACAAACCUUCAUCUUUGCACUGUUAACCUUUAGGAAAGGGUUUUGGGUGCCUAACACCUUCCCUCGACCUGAAUAUAGUAUCUUACCCCGAAUCUCAUAACUGCGUAGGGUUUCCUAUUCGCCCUUCAGAAUAGGUGGCGGCUCUCUAAGUUUCAAUUUUAGGGCAGGUUGCUACACCAAUCAUCAUCCAUGAUCUGAAACACCAAAAUCACUAAGCUUGAUCCUCACUUGAACCAUACUGCAGAUCGAGCAUCACCAACUAGUCCAGAGGUUUUCAAUUCAUGCCAAGCAUCCAAACAUGUUCCAUAAGGUCCAUUGAAGGUGUUCAGAUCAAGAAACAACAUCUGGAAUCCCUCAUUUGCAGAAUUCGAUCCUCAGUUGUGCCGUUUUUAAGGUAAGCUCUCUUGAACUUCAAACUCUAUUCUCCAUGCAUCAUAAAUGAAAUAUGAACAUACCAUCUUGUUUCUGCACUAUCACUGAUCAAUAGCCCUCAAUCAAUUUCACAAUUCAUCAAUCAUACACGAUUUCAUGUUCAAAUUCAGAAUUAGGGUUCUUCGUGUUCAUCAGAAAAUUAACCACCUUAGAGCAAAAAUAAAUGAAAUUAAAGAUCACCAUCAUGUUCCUUGUGAAAAAACGAGUAGGAUAGGCUAUUCACUUGAUCAAAAUGAUUCAGGUUUCAGAUUUUUCAAAUUCAAGUUAGGGUUGUGUUCUUGGCGCCAGAUUUUGAAACUGAAAUUAGGAAUUGAUUCAAAAAUAUAAUUCAUUCGUUGCAAACGUUAAACAGACCACGCGCGUGGUCCAAUUGGCAAGUGUUUUGGUUGGUAACCUUGAGUGCGUGGGUUCAAGUCCUUGUGGUGACAAAACCUAAUUUUUUAAUUCUAUUUUUCUUAUUUUUCUUCACAACUUCAUCAAUUAAUUUAACCAAUCAAAUUAACUCAUUUUUAUGUAUUUUAUGUAUUUUAAAAAAAAUCGCAAAAAUAUAUUUAUUUAAUACAUUUUUGAUUAAGUUUAAAAUGACAUAUUUUUAAGUGUUUUUAAAUACUUUAAAUAUUGUUUUUCAUUUGAUUUUUCAAACUUAAUCACUUGCAAAUAUUUUGUGAUCAAACCCUAAUUAUUUAGGUCUUAAUUAAGCAUGAAAUUUGUUUUUUAUCUUAAUUAAGUUGACUUUUGUCAAAAUUCAAACCGUUUUAAAACAAACGAUCAUAGUUUUUCAAAACGAUAAACCUUUUCUUUUUUGGUUUUGUUUUCAAAAGAAACUAUUGAUUAAAUCUUUUUUUGGAUUGAUCAAUUGAUUCCCAAAAAAAUACCAUGGGCCUCCAUGUAGGUAUAAGUCCCAAGCUCCUUUUGUACAUACCCUUUCCUUUUUUUUUUGUACAGAAAAUUUCUUUUAAAACAAAGACUUUCAAAUAGUUUUUCAAACGACGAAACCUUGCGUCUGUUAAUAAAACAAUCAACCAUGUUUUAUAAAAUAAAACACGAGCCUCCACAUAGGUAUAAGUCUCAUUCCCGUACAUAAAAUUAGGUAUUUCAUUGUACAUUCACCUUUUUGUACAUACCUCGAUCAGUUUAUAUUUAACUUCGAAUAACAAAUCAAAAAUGAAGAUUUUCUUUAAAUCUUCCCAAAAAAAUACCAUGGGCUCCAUGUAGGUAUAAAUCCCAAGCCCUUUUGUAAAUACUUGUUUACAUAGCUUUUGAAUAAACUCAAGUGGGUCUCUCCCCGAGUAUAAGUCCCGAGCCCCCGUGUAUACAAAUGGAUCAUGCAUACAGGUAUAUUUCCUUCAUAAACUCCAUUAUAUACACACACUUUGUCAUACAUAUGUGCUUGUUCAUACUUGUUCAUAUUUGUUCAUGUACUUGUUCAUAUUUGUUCGUACUUGUUCAUAUUUGUGAUUGUGUUAUAUAUAUGCUUGUUCAACUUAGUACAAUACUAGGUUCCCCAUAGCCUCCUAUUGGGCUUCGUGCAAAGAAUCUCCCUAAUUUAGGUUAGGACAUAGAGUAUGGUUUCCCGGUGAAAUCGCUCUAAGAGCUCAAACCAACUAUACCAUGCCUCCCCUUGGGCUUUGUACAAACGAGUGACCCUCCCAUAGCCUCCUCUUGGGCUUACAAUGCAAGGACCCUCGAUUGUCCCUCACAUAGCCUCCUCUUGGGCUUACAAUGCAAGUACCCUCAGAUAGCCUCCUCUUGGGCUUCGUACAAGGACCCACGGGCUUCUUAUAAGCAUCCCCAAUAUCCAAAUCAAAUACCUUAGGAGAUUAGACAUUUAUCAUCUCUAUGAUAGGAGUAUCUCUUCUAUAUCAUCACAAUCAAUCAAUCAAUCAAACUUUUUUGCCACAAGGCUGGCUAAUCAAUCAAACCUUUUUGCCACCAUACUGGCUGAUUAAUCAAAGUUUUUGUCCCAAGGCUGACUUCAUUGAAACUUUUGCCACAAGGCUGGCUGAUUAAUCAAAACUUUUUGUCACAAGGCUGACUUCAUUGAAAGUUUUUGCCACAAGGCUGGCUAAAAAGCAUCUUUAUCAUUCUAAGCACCAUAAGUGGCAUGGCCCAGGGCUUAUAAUGAAAAGAUUUUCAAACAAAAACAAACAGAUGUAUGUGAUGAUAUAGAUUAGAUACAUCGAACAUUUAGAUGACAUUUGUCUCUUAUCCUUUGCUUCCACUAGCAUAAGUGGGAACUACGAUUGCUCUGACUUUCUCAACAUCCCUUUGAGAAUACGUAGGCACAAGGUCGUAUCUUUGGCGAGCAAAACUUCUCCCUCAAACCACUCAAACCUUAGCACCCGUAGACCCGAGCUACAGAUGCUCUGAUUCCCUCUAAGGCAUAUGUAUGCAGAGGAUCGUGAUGAUCUUUGCGAGCAUAAUCAAACAAACACCCUAGGUCCCACCUAUUUCACAACAGAACCUCCACCAUAACAUAGAAUGAAACAAACACAACAAAAAAAAGCCUAUAGAGUACUAUAGAUACGUUGGGUGCUAAUACCUUCCCUUCGUAUAACCAACCCUCUUACCCAAGAUCUCUCCCCCCACUUUUAAGGUUAUUGCAGCUUUUUUCCUUUUCCUACUUUGGAAAUAAUAAAAAGUUUGGUCGAAACAAAGAAAAAUCAUUUUUAUGAGCACUCGAGCCCAAAGAAGGCAUCAGGUGUCUCAUCCCGAAAAAAGAUACGAUUUUUCCCCGCGACAAUCCCUACAGAAUUUGGGCGAAGAUCCUUCUGGGUUGCAUCUACCAUAGAAAGGCAACUGUUUCUCCUAACUAUGUCAACAAGGACCAACAAUACAUUUUGCAUUGUAUUGGUAAACAAGAGAAGGUGGAUCUUCCUUUCAUCAUCGUCAAUCACACGUGGAAUCGUGUAAGGGACUCUAGAGAGCAAGUCAGAUUGAAGUCUACCAAGUACAAAAGGAACAUCAUUCCUUUUGGAAGGAUAAUUACUGAUAUUCUGGUUCAGACUGGAUUAGUUGGUGAUCUGGAAAAAGCUGGAAUUAUUAAAGAUUCUUUUGCAAUGUGUGGAAGUACCAUGAAUGCCCACACUGUGAAAAAGAUGAAUCUUAUUGAGACAAUUGUUGCUACUCCCAGCGUGGAUCAUGAAAUCUUGACCAGAAAGGCUCCUGCUCUGGCUGAUUUUGAACUGUUUUUCAAAAAUGAGCAUCCUAACAUUGUUGUUAGCUAUCUGAAACUAUGUAAAGAGGAAGGAUCUGCGUAUGAUCCUGUGUGGAUAAGCAACAAAGAGCUUCUCAUUAUAGCUGACCAAGUACCAGAAAAAGAGGAAAAGAAAAAGAAGAAGAAAAGAAAGCAAGACCAGCAAGAAGGAAGGAAAGAUAAGAAGGAAAAGAAAGAAGAGCAGAAAGAAGUUAAUCAAGAAAAGGAAGAAGAGAAGAAAGAAGAGAAGAAGGAAGAAAAGAAGGAGAAAAAGAGAAAGACUGUUGGUGAUGGACCUUCCAAGCCUCAGAAGAAGAAGAAGAAAUCUCCAGGUAUUACUAUUUCUGAGCCUGUUUCUGUUCCUGUUUUAAUAUCUAAACCUAUAUCAACAGAAGCUCUACCAGAAAAAUUACUAAAAAAAGCCCCAGAAAUUCCUCCUCAAACCACCAAAAUUUCUAACCCUCCAUCUUCUGCUUCCCUCAAGUCUAAAGGAAAACAACCUAUGCUUGAUUCUGAACAAAUUCUUGAUCCAAAACCUUUAAACACCAUCUUCCCAGAUGAAGAUAUUUUUGUUUCUGCUCAACCUCAACCCCCACCUUAUGAAUCUCAACUUCAACCUUCUGACCCCCAACAUGUUGACACUCCAGUGUUCUUCCACCUCUCCUCUCCAGAAUCAUCAUUUUCUGAAUCUUUCAUUCGCCUCAUGCACUCUCUUAAACCCUAUAAUCCAUCUUCCGACCCCAUUGUUGUAGUCUUUGAAUCAGACAAUGAAGAUGAAUCGUCUAUUCAACCAUCCUCUUCAAACACUUCUUUGUUUGAUAGAGUUUCUGACCCUUACUCCAUCUCUUAACCAGAAUCUCCAAUCACCCGCUUCAAAAUUAACCCUCCAAAAUCUUCUGUUGAUAUUCGUUUUGAAUUAUUAAAAUAUAAGUUCAGAACAGGGUUAGAUUAUCUGAAGGUUGCCCAUGACUCCAAGUUGGAUCAAGUGGCUGCUAAAAAGCUCUGGACGACUUUUCUUGAGGAUGUGCAAGCAGAGUUUCUGGACCUCCAGAAGGAUUGCCUUGCCGCUGCUCCUGGUCCUGCUGGACUCGCUUUGGAGUACAUUGCUGGCAUCUACUCUCAUCCCAUUUCUAACUGGAAGAUUCUGGAAGAAAAACCCUUUGUGGAUGAAAUGGUAGUGGAAAAUCCUUUGCCUCUGGUUGUCUGGAAGCCUUAUCUGUAUUCAGUUCUGACUGGAGACUUUAAGACUAUGUUUGACUGGUUCAGGGAGAACCCUCUGGAAGAGUAUCUUGACUUGGUAUAUCCUCAUAUUGAGUAUCCUCCAGAAGAAGAAGCUGAAGAAGAGCAACAAGCUGAACAACAUCAUGCUGAAGAGAUUCAAGCUCAAGAGAUUCCUGUUGAAGAGGAACCAAUUGCUGAAAAUCAAAUGAUUCAAGCUUCUGAUAUUCCUACUUCUUCUGCUGGUCCUUCUACAUCUGUUCUGUUUGAAACUCUAAAGGAACUCCAACAGAAUCAAGCUUCCUUAGCUAGUUGUCUGGGCAAGCAAGAUGACACCAAUGAGAAAUUCAGAACUUGGAUGCAGAGACAGGAAGAUUCCUCCAAGAAGUAAGCUGAAGACACUGCUGAGAUUAAGAACCUUCUAGCAGCUUUAGCCUCUAAGCUUAACCAGUCGUAGUCUGUGUCUUGUGUCUUACUUAGUUUUCUUUGUUUUUGCAUAUGCUUUGUUGCAUAUGCUUUGUACUCCCUUCUAAUUAAUCAAUGAAAUAUAUUUAUUUCUUCACUUUUGUAUCUUUCAUCUGAAUCUUUUAAACUUUUUGAUGUUAUGACAAAAGGGGGAGAAACAUGCUAAUUGAAUUGAUUUAUAAUAUCAGUUGUUGGGCUUAAGUUUCAACAGUCCUAACAAAUAUAUUGCAAGUUUUCUGUCUCUAAUAGUUUUGCAGGAAUGUGAUACUCUGAACAAGCUCAAUAUGGGGAGAAGCAAAUAUGGGAAAAGCAUAUCUGAAGAAAAUCUCUCAAAGAGUUGAAGCAAUCAAGCUUAAUGUUUUGAUACAUAAAGUUUCAAGCUUUGAUACAAGCUAUGUUUUAAAGUGCUCUGAUACAAACUUUGCUCUGAUUGCUCUGACACAAGAAGUUUCAAGAUCAGAAAGAAGCUUUGCUCUUAUAUAAGAAAUUUUAUGCUCUGAUACAAGAAGCUAUGAAGCUCUGAUAUAAGCAAGCCUUCUUGAUGUUCAGAUAAGCCAAAGUGAUCUCAAAGAGAAAUUCAACUGAAUUAAUCUGAAGUUUAAAGUUCAACGUGAAAGUCUCAACUGAAAUGGAAAAAUACUCAGGGAAGUUUUUUAUUUAUAAAAUCUUCUAGUAUUAAUUUCAGGGGGAGAUUGUUAAUCUUAGGGGGAGACAUAUUCACACACUCUGAUUAAUAUGCUUUAUGCUAUAUCUGUGUAUUGUCUUUUUCAUCUGAUAUUCUGGAUACAAAUUCAUAUAAAUUCUGUAUGUUUUUGUCAUCAUCAAAAGGGGGAGUUUGUUAGAACAAGAAAUGUUCUGAUCAAUAUUCUUAGUUUUGAUGAUAAUAUUAUAUAUGAAUUUUGUAUAAGAGAAUAUGGUACUCUCAUUAUUCACGUUUUCCAUUUCAGGAAAAGUAUAAAAGAGUAUGCAUAAAUCAGCGUUCAGAAGAAGGGUAAUAUUGAAUGAUUUUAUUGCUUAUGACUUUCAUAUGGUUCCAUAAAAUCUUCAAAAUCUUACCAUUCCUAUCAGUCAAGUACCUUCCUCUGCUACAACCUCUGCGUCCCCAUCAAGGAAUAAAAAGAGAAAGCAUUCUUAGAAAUCUUCUUGCGAAGGGCCUUCUAAGAAGAGCAAGGUUUGUCGUUGUGCUAAGAAAAAUUUGGAAACCAUUCCACAAGCUAGGUUGCCAUAACUUCUAUACCAACCAAGGUUGCCAUAUCCUCUAUACCAACCAAGGUUGCCAUAACUUCUAUACCAACCAAGGUUGCCAUAUCCUCUAUACCAACCAAGGUUGCCAUAACUUCUUAUGCAUCAAGGACUCUGGAACUUGUUCAGGGUUCUGAAACUGCUACUUCUUCCACUGUAAGUAUGUAUACUUCUAGUAUCUCUUUACUUGCAUUCGUUUUUAAUAAUUCAUCUUCAACCACUUCAACUUCAUCACCACCUCCACCUCCUGUUUCCACGUUUAGAACAGUGACUGCUCCCCCCAAGAAAAAUCCAAAUCCCACAUAAGUUCCUACUUCUGAACAACCUCUACCACACCCUUCAUCUCAACUAUUGGUUUCUCUCCCUCUACAAACACACUCCAUUUUCUCAUAAUUCAAUCCUACUAUAACCACCCUUGCAGAAUCAUCCCACACACUCAUUCCCUCUACACUCCUAACCCAACUAACCUCUUCUGAAAAACCACCCUCACCACAACCCUCAGAAACCUCAACUCAAUUAAAAACUAACCUCCCCCUAAUUUCCUUUGUUGAUUGUAACACCCUUCUAAACCCUCGCAAAAUAUUAAAUAAAUUCAGAUUAAAAACAUGUACAAGGAUGUUACAACUCCAAAAGAAAUAAAAUAUCAAAUCAUUUUUCAUGCCCUUUCAAGGAACAAAAUUGCAAUUUAUUCACUAAACCAUGUUUAACACAGCGGAAAAUAAUUUUUAAGACUGAAUAACGUAAACCAUCAGUUAUCAAUACCAAAUCACCUGUUCAAAAUAAAUUGAACAUAAUCCAAACUAAUUAAAAUAAGAGUUUAACAAUUAACUCUAAAAUAAGCAUUCCCCGGUGUUACAAGACCAGAGCAUGACAUUGACGCGAAAACUAAACGGACUAGCCUACAAGCUAUCCUCACCGAGCACAACCGCUGCUACUCCUCAAUCUGAAAAUAAUCAACAAUAAAUGUGAGACAUAUCACAAUUAAAUUAUAUUAUAAGUUCAUAACGACAAAACAUCAUAAGCAUAUUAUUCACCCAACUACAACAUAUUUAGAUUUUCAGAAUUAUUCACCAACAGUUAUAAAAAUUCAAUCAAACUCAUCACUACGAAAUAACACUGGAAAUCUUCCAAUCAUGUUAUAACAACACAUAUAAAAUGCAACGAAUAUAUGCAUGUGUGUCAUACCCCAAUUUUUGACCUAAGAUACCACCUCAUAUCAUAGCAUAUGCAUCAUUUGCAUCUCUAACAAAUUGCAUAGCUUGUGUUUGUUACUUGUGGCUCAGCGGGAUUUAAUCAGGAAAUCACUCAUCAGUACAAGUAAUAAUCAAUUAGGGUUUUGUUCUUUCUUCAUUUCAAAUGAAUCAUCUUCAUCAACAAUCAACAUUUGGUCAUCAAAGAUUCAUUUCAACAAGCUCAAAAGCUCUGAACCAACCAGAUUAGGGUUUUGACUGAAGACAUCAUACUCUUGACUUUUGCUCAGAAUUUGACCUAAUGACUUGGGACAUGACCUCAAGACCCCAAGUGCAUCAUUUUGACCUAAUCCAUUGGCUUAGAACAUCUCCUAUACAAAGAUUGAUCAGACAAAUCCUCAGAUCAGGGUUUUUGAACUAUCAGGGACUGAAAUCAGGGAUCACAUUUGGGAAACCCUAAAAAUCCCCAGGGAGUCAAUCAAAGGUUUCAAUCAUCCUCAAAUAAUCCCUAUGACAAUAUACAAUGGAAAUUGUAUCUCAAUUCAAGGUCCACAGUCAUCAAUUUCAUCUGGUCGACAAUUAGGGUUUUUGACCUAAUUCACUGAACAACUGACUUUUUAAUCAGGACAUGGUGCCACAACUCAAAUCAUGGCUCAAUAUCCUCUAAUGCUUCAAUGUAAUCCAUUCAUACUAUUCAUUUGAUGAGGAUAUCCUGUUUCAUUUGAAAUCUCCAGAAACGCGAUUCGUCUGAAAAGUCAACUGUACAAGAUCACCAUUGACUUUUGGGGAACUUUGGUCAACCAUGACUUUUGAAGUUUUAAAUCAUCAAUAUAUGAUAUGAGAAGUCAUUUGAUCAAUGAAAAUCAAGAAAAUCAAUCAAGAAUCAAAAGUCAAAAGUUUGACUUUUCAUACUUAGAAAAAUUUCUAAGUGUUUUUCAUGGUUUUUUCCAAACUUUGGAAGGGAAUUUCUCAAAAUUUCACCUACAAACUGAAAAAAACUUCCAACAUGAAAGUUGUAGAUUUUGAUCCAAUAAACAACUUUGACACAUAAAUUUUUUUCAAAAGAUCAACCAUUUAAGAGAUAUGGUGCUCCAAAGUUGGUACUUUUUGAAAACUUCACUUGAAAUCUCAUUUUCUUCAAAGUUCAUGGAUCUUUUUCACCCACUUCCUUAAAGAUCUUGAAGAAACUUUCAACUAGGGUUUUGAAGUGUGUAAUAUGAGCUUUCCAAAAUGUCCAAGAGCAUGAAAAAAUAUGGAGUGUAGCUAUGGUUUUGAAUUUUGCCAUUAGUGAACUUUUCACUUGAAAUUUCAAGUCAUUUUGCCAAAGUUAUGAACCAAAUUGCCAAAUGGACCAAGUAAUGAUGCAUAGAGGCAAUAAUUGGAGAUAUUUUUCUGAUUUGAGACAGAUGGGAAAGAGAUAAGAAGCAUAGCCAAUUUUAACCAUGGUUUAGUAACUUUAACCAUAUGCAUUUAAUGGUAAGAUUCCUUUCUAUCCCUUAAGUGCCAAAUCACCAAAGAAGAAGCAACUUGCAAGAGCCUUGUAUUCAGAAUCCAUGGCCUAUAAAUAGAGGUCCAAACCUCAUUCAAAAACACACCAAAACCUCACAAUUAUAGGUUUUCUCUCUUCUUUCUUAAGUUACAAGUUUCAUGAGUUUCAAAGAGGGAGAAUUGCAAUUUCCAUCUCUUGCAAUUUCUAAGCAAAGUGAGGGUUCUAACAUCCCAUAAACAUCAAAUGUGAAGUGUUUGAUCCAUCCACACACCCCAAAAACACUCAGAACUCAAAAUCACUACCUCACCUCCAUAUGAACACAUAAUGAGCCUUAUCAUGCCAAUUUUCAUUCUAGCUCAUUUCUGUCCAAGUUAAACAUCCAAACACAUUCCAUAUACCAUAUAUGAGCUAUCCCAACCAUCAUCCAUGAUCUGAAACACCUCCAUCUUCAAAUUCGAUUCACUCUUGAAGCUUAUGCAGGUCGGGUACCAUGGCCAUGCCCAGAUGAAUUCAGAUGGUUCCAAGCAUCCAGACACCUUCCAUAAUCAUCAUUGAAGCUAUCCAGAUCAUCACAAAGCAUCUGUAACACCUCCAGAUCAGAAUUCAAUUCUCAGUUGGCCGUUUUUGAAGACUCCAAGUCACCAUCUGCUAUGAUAGCUAGCUUGACUCUAAGAUGACGAACCAAGCAAUCAGAUUCAGACUCUUAAGAGAUUGUGCAAUUCAAACUUCAUCCUCCAAUUGAUCUUUUGAUGCCUAUAUAAUAAAGACUUUGAAGAUUGCAAGAUUGACGAACAACUGAACGAAAUUUUAAAUGCGCUGAAACUCUGCUCAUUUCUA